AACGAACGCUGGCGGCAUGCCUAACACAUGCAAGUCGAACGAACCCUUCGGGGUUAGUGGCGCACGGGUGCGUAACGCGUGGGAACCUGCCUUUAGGUUCGGAAUAACUCAGAGAAAUUUGAGCUAAUACCGAAUAAUGUCUUCGGACCAAAGAUUUAUCGCCUUUAGAUGGGCCCGCGUUAGAUUAGAUAGUUGGUGGGGUAAUGGCCUACCAAGUCGACGAUCUAUAGCUGGUCUGAGAGGAUGAUCAGCCACACUGGGACUGAGACACGGCCCAGACUCCUACGGGAGGCAGCAGUGGGGAAUAUUGGACAAUGGGCGAAAGCCUGAUCCAGCAAUGCCGCGUGAGUGAUGAAGGCCUUAGGGUUGUAAAGCUCUUUUACCAGGGAUGAUAAUGACAGUACCUGGAGAAUAAGCUCCGGCUAACUCCGUG
rnacentral:rRNA from 1 species